rnacentral:rRNA from 1 species
AGAACGAACGCUGGCGGCAUGCCUAAUACAUGCAAGUCGAACGAACUCUUCGGAGUUAGUGGCGCACGGGUGCGUAACGCGUGGGAAUCUGCCCCUUGGUUCGGAAUAACAGUUGGAAACGACUGCUAAUACCGGAUGAUGACGAAGGUCCAAAGAUUUAUCGCCAAGGGAUGAGCCCGCGUAGGAUUAGCUAGUUGGUGAGGUAAAGGCUCACCAAGGCAACGAUCCUUAGCUGGUCUGAGAGGAUGAUCAGCCACACGUGGGACUGAGACACGGCCCAGACUCCGUACGGGAGCAGCAGUAGGGAAUAUGGACAAGUGGGACGAAAGCCUGACUCCAGCAAGUCGACCGCGUGAGUGAUAGAACGGUCGUUAGGUUAGUAAAGCUUACUUUUACCGAGUA